CAGCCGCCGCGGUAAUACGAAGGGGGCUAGCGUUGCUCGGAAUUACUGGGCGUAAAGGGAGCGUAGGCGGACAUUUAAGUCAGGGGUGAAAUCCCGGGGCUCAACCUCGGAAUUGCCUUUGAUACUGGGUGUCUUGAGUAUGAGAGAGGUAUGUGGAACUCCGAGUGUAGAGGUGAAAUUCGUAGAUAUUCGGAAGAACACCAGUGGCGAAGGCGACAUACUGGCUCAUUACUGACGCUGAGGCUCGAAAGCGUGGGGAGCAAACAGGAUUAGAUACCCCAGUAGUCCCUGUCUCUUAUAC
rnacentral:rRNA from 1 species